rnacentral:rRNA from 1 species
GACGAACGCUGGCGGCGUGCUUAACACAUGCAAGUCGAACGGUGAAGGGACCGGUUUUUGCUGGUUCUGGAUGAGUGGCGAACGGGUGAGUAACACGUGAGUAACCUGCCCCCUUCUUCUGGAUAACCGCAUGAAAGUGUGGCUAAUACUGGAUAUUCUGCGCCUGCUGCAUGGUGGGUGUGGGAAAGAUAUUGUUUCGGUGGGGGAUGGGCUCGCGGCCUAUCAGCUUGUUGGUGGGGUGAUGGCCUACCAAGGCGGUGACGGGUAGCCGGCCUGAGAGGGUGGACGGUCACACUGGGACUGAGACACGGCCCAGACUCCUACGGGAGGCAGCAGUGGGGAAUAUUGCACAAUGGGCGCAAGCCUGAUGCAGCGACGCCGCGUGAGGGAUGGAGGCCUUCGGGUUGUAAACCUCUUUCGCCAGUGAAGCAGGCCUGUCCCUUUUGUGGGUGGGUUGACGGUAGCUGGAUAAGAAGCGCCGGCUAACUACGUG